AUACGUAGGGGGCGAGCGUUGUCCGGAAUGAUUGGGCGUAAAGGGCGCGUAGGCGGCCCGGUAAGUCUGGAGUGAAAGUCCUGCUUUCAAGGUGGGAAUUGCUUUGGAUACUGCCGCGCUUGAGUGCAGGAGAGGUUAUCGGAAUUCCCGGUGUAGCGGUGAAAUGCGUAGAGAUCGGGAGGAACACCAGUGGCGAAGGCGGGUAACUGGACUGCAACUGACGCUGAGGCGCGAAAGUGUGGGGAGCAAACAGGAUUAGAUACCCUGGUAGUCCACACUGUAAACGAUGAAUGCUAGGUGUAAGAGGUAUCGACCCCUUUUGUGCCGGAGUCAACACAAUAAGCAUUCCGCCUGGGGAGUACGGCCGCAAGGUUGAAACUCAAAUGAAUUGGCGGGG
rnacentral:rRNA from 1 species